rnacentral:tRNA from 1 species
GCGGGGGUUGCAGAGCCUGGUCAAAUGCGCAGGACUUAAGAUCCUGUCCCUUAGUGGGUUCGCGGGUUCGAAUCCGCCCCCCGCA